rnacentral:misc_RNA from 1 species
UGUGUAUCCAUCCUAAGAAAAAGGGGAGAUAGAGAUAGCAAAGCAACAAUGGCAUCUUUCAUCAACAAUCCCUUAACUUCCCUCUGUAACACUAAGUCUGAAGCUAAUAAUCUCUUCAAAAUCUCCCCUUUAAGAGCUCAAUCACUCGGUUUUUCCAAGUUUAAUGGCAGCAGAAAAGUUGCUUUCCCUUCUGUUGUUUGCAAAGCAGUAUCUGUGCCAACGAAAUCGAGUACAGAAAUUGAAGGGCUUAACAUCGCUGAAGAUGUUACACAGCUUAUUGGGAACACACCAAUGGUUUACCUUAACACCAUCGCUAAGGGUUGUGUUGCAAACAUUGCUGCUAAACUUGAGAUUAUGGAGCCAUGUUGCAGUGUUAAGGACAGGAUAGGGUUUAGUAUGAUAGUUGAUGCCGAGGAGAAGGGACUUAUAUCUCCGGGGAAGACUGUUCUAGUUGAGCCUACGAGUGGAAACACAGGCAUU